AUCGCUUCUCGGCCUUUUGGCUAAGAUCAAGUGUAGUAUAGCAGAAGGUCUAUAGAUAAUAGAAGACUUGAAUAACAUGAUAAUCCAUUUAAACCUAAAGAUUUACAUAGAAUAUUUCACACAAUGAGAGCAGGAUAUAUAUUAUUUUCAGUAUACAUGAAAUAUUCUUCAAGAUAAAACAUA
rfam:Fukomys damarensis contig73081, whole genome shotgun sequence.